GUGCCUAACACAUGCAAGUCGAACGAGAAAGUGGAGCAAUCCAUGAGUAAAGUGGCGACCGGGUGAGUAACACGUGACUAACCUACCCUCGAGUGGGGAAUAACUCCGGGAAACCGGGGCUAAUACCGCAUAACAUCGCAAGAUCAAAGCAGCAAUGCGCUUGAGGAGGGGGUCGCGGCUGAUUAGCUAGUUGGCGGGGUAACGGCCCACCAAGGCGAAGAUCGGUAUCCGGCCUGAGAGGGCGCACGGACACACUGGAACUGAAACACGGUCCAG
rnacentral:rRNA from 1 species